rnacentral:sRNA from 1 species
CAGGUCGUGAAUAUUUUGCUUGUCCAUGGUGUUUACGGCACAAGGAUGCGUAGGUAGCUAUGUAUCUCAGAACUAUUAGUGGGAUCAAAAAGAUCCCUUAUAUCUCACUACACCGGUUCGGUACUUGAAUUGUCUAGAAUGGCGGAAUUCCCACAUAUGAGAAAGAUCCCGUUCGCGGCAAUUCGAUGUUCCGCAGAUAUAAAAAUAUUUCUGAUACUCGACCUAUCAUAAAUGCCAGUGGGUCAAUCCCCAUGCUCAAUCCCCAUGCCCUCAUAGUUUUUCGUACAACGGUUCAGGUUCAGUGCUUCAAGCAUCACAAAGGUUAAUAACGGAGUGUGAAAGUUGAACAAAAGGCUCACGGUAUGAAACAAAUUUACUAGAUGCCCUCCUCGGAGAGGCAGGAGGCGGUUGGGCAUGUCGAGGUCUCUAUAUGAAUAGAUAUCCGAUGAUAUCUAUCAUAGGGAGACAGGGAAGCAGGCAGCCAUCUAGUAAUCUCCGUCGCGACGCAGAGAUUCAGUGGAUAUCUCACUGCAAAACCCACAGACAGAAAGACAGGCACCUACGGAGUAGAGAAUACCGAUUUCCAAAAAAGAAAUCUAGUGACUAAAUAUAGCAUAACUCUGCCUAACCUCUUGGGUGCGAGCUUGAGUUUCAUCAAAUUCCCACCUUCACGCUGUUACAUUGGAUGGGCCCGAGGAAGCAGAAGGGGCAAAAAAACAGAGAGAAAGGAAAUAACUAACGUCGGUGAGAUUAGAAUCAUAUCGUGAAAAGGGGACGUUCCAGCGGAACGGGGGUGGGACCAAAAUGUUUGUGAAAAGGAGGAGGAAACCAAACGCACAGGCGAAUUCAGUCAGUUCUAAGAUUAGGCUGGAGAAAACUCUUCUCCUGGUGCUUUGUUCUCCCCCCUCUUUCUUUUGGGUGCUGUUACUUUCGCUUCUUCUCCAAUUUCUUGAUUUAUUUUACGCAGGAGAGGCAUGGAAGAAAAUAUACGGGGACUGUCUCCAAAAUGA